rnacentral:rRNA from 1 species
UACGAAGGGGGCUAGCGUUGUUCGGAUUUACUGGGCGUAAAGCGCACGUAGGCGGUUUGUUAAGUCAGGGGUGAAAUCCCAGAGCUCAACUCUGGAACUGCCUUUGAUACUGGCAAGCUCGAGUCCGGAAGAGGUAAGUGGAACUCCUAGUGUAGAGGUGGAAUUCGUAGAUAUUAGGAAGAACACCAGGUGGCGAAGGCGGCUUACUGGUCCGGAACUGACGCUGAGGUGCGAAAGCGGUGGGGAGCAAACAGG